UUCAGCUGUGAUUCUGGUCAUUCCUACUUCUUUAACGAACUGAAUAUCACUUUAAUAGGACAAGGAAUCGAUGUAGCAUCUUGAGAAAAGAUGAAGGGUUUUGCGUUAGAAAACGGCCAGUUUGAAAGAUACAAAGGAUGUGAAACCUGUGUUUAUUAACUUACAUUUUUGACUGUAAAUAACAUGGACAAACCYUCGGCCCAUCCUUCUAACUCCACGGCCACAAAGAAAAAGAUAAUUAGAUUGAUGAUUAUAAGGAGAAGAAUCACGAAGUAAAUCUGAAAAURUAAAAAAAGAAAUUAUGGUUAAAAAAAGAACGGCAGCGAAGGCAUCCAAAUUGUGCGUUUAUGUCCUGACUGUACCAUCUGAUCGGUUCAUUUCGAAGCAUGAAGGACUAUGCUCUCUCUAAGUGGUACACUGUACACUCAUCCAUCCAUGAUA